rnacentral:rRNA from 1 species
GACGAACGCUGGCGGCGUGCUUAACACAUGCAAGUCGAACGGAAAGGCCUGCUUUCCCUUGUGGAUUGCGGGUACUCGAGUGGCGAACGGGUGAGUAACACGUGAGUGAUCUGCCCCCAACUUGGGUAUAAGCCUGGGAAACUGGGUCUAAUUCCCGAUAGGACUGCAGGGUGGUGCCUGUGGUGGAAAACGAUUUUCUAGUGGUUGGGGAUGAGCUCGCGGCCUAUCAGCUUGUUGGUGGGGUAAUGGCCUACCAAGGCGGCGACGGGUAGCCGGCCUGGGAUGGUGGACGGCCACAUUGGGACUGAGAUACGGCCCAGACUCCUACGGGAGGCAGCAGUGGGGAAUAUUGCACAAUGGGCGGAAGCCUGAUGCAGCGACGCCGCGUGGGGGAUGACGGCCUUCGGGUUGUAAACUCCUUUCGACCGCGAGGAAGCCACCUGGUUGGAAGGGUGGUGACGGUAGUGGUAGAAGAAGCACCGGCUAACUACGUG